rnacentral:tRNA from 1 species
GGGGCUGUGGCUCAGUGGUAGAGCGCUUGCCUAGCAUGUGUGAAGCAUUGAGUUCAAUUCUCAGCACCACA